GACAAUUAAGCUGUUCAGCUGCCUGGUUCACUUAGUUCCCCCAUUACGGCUCUGUGCCAGGGUCAGGAAGGCCUGAAUCCGCCCACCUGCAGCGACACGCCGGAGGAAGAGGGGACCUCCCCAUGUCAGAGAUAAGUCUUGAGAAAAAGCCUGAACUGGAUGAACAUCAUUCAUUCAUCCACCACCCCAUCUAUCCCUUCUUCAGGCAUUCACUCCUGCCUGUUUUAUUCCACGUCCUAAAUUUGAGAGAGAAGAUGAGGUGAAAAAAAUAAGUGAAAUUUACCAUAGUGUGUAUAACGUGCCACUAUCAAUGUUAUAUAAAUACAUACAUGUCUAUAAUCUCCAGUAACAUUCUUCCUCCCAGGAGGCUGCGGAAGAGGGCUGGGAACCUGAGAGACUUACUUUUCUCUGCAUCCUCUUUGUUCCUUUACAAUUCUGCACGAUGCGUAUUUAUCACCUACUCCAGAAAUAAGUUUCAGCUGUAAACAACGCUCCUGACUGCCACCCCAAGCUCUGGUCACUUGAGCAGGCUGACCCCUCCGUGAUGGCGAUGGUGGAGUGAUUUGGCGUCAGACAGAUAUUUUCCUUGGAGCCAUCAGAUGUUCUCCCAAGCCUGCUGCCACGGGUGAAUGGGCGGCUUUCAGCAGCCAUGGUAUACGUCCUCCCUCCUACGAGAUCAGGAACGUCACUCCAUACACGUCCCUGCCUCUGGAGUCACCGAAUACAGGCACAGGACCCAGGGCCAUGGGUGGGAGGGAAGCAGUGGUCGACCUGAGUUCCACGUGUCCCAAUUCCUCCAGAGACCCAGCCCCACUCUGAGAUGUAGUUAGAUUUGAAGAGACUGUGUUGAUCCCUUUGGUCCAGGCAAGAUUGGGACAUCCACAUUGGACAGGUCUCAGGCGACAACUUCUCCAGAGACUUUUCUCAGUGAGUCCUCCCUCCCCUCGGGGUCUCAGUACUUCUGCCAUUGCCCUCCUCCUUCCAGCCUCACAGCAUCCCUGAGAGCCAGAGACUGUCCCUACCCCUAUUUCACAAGAGAGGAGGCCAGAGCCCAGAGGUAAAGUAACUUACUCCCAAGCUCACCUAGCCUGUAAAUCUCUCAGUCUGUAUUCAGCCCAGGCUGACCCAGCUUGACAGCCCAUUCACCUCUCACUCCAACACAAGGUGUCCCAAGGAGGAUGCUGUGCUGGGCAAAAUGGCCUUGGUCGACUGCAGAACAGAGAAGCCCAGACCAUAGAGAAAGAGACUGAUGCCCCUGGUUACACUAAAAUGCAAAACCCUUGUGCUUCGGGACUCCAUCAAUAAAGUGAAAAGACAAGCCACCGACUGGCAGAAGACAGUAGCAGCAGAUCAAGGAUUAGAGCUUCCACAAAUCAAUAAGAAAGACACAAACAACCCAAGGAAACACGGGCCAGACCGCAAAAGUAAUUCACAGGAGAGGAAAUCCACACGACCAGUAAAAUGAUGAAAACCUUUCAGGCCCACUGAUCAGAGACAGACAGAUUAAAAACACGAAUGAGAGACAUUUGGUCCCCAUCACAGUGGCAUAAAUUCCGAAGUCUGACAAUUGCCAUUGUGAGUCUGGAUGUGGAGCAACAGAAGCUGGCCAGCCCUUCAGGUGCAGUGGGGUGAUGGCGGGUGAACCUGAAGAAACUCAUGCACCCAGAGACCCCUCCCCAGGCGUGUGCGGGGGCAUGAGCAAGGAUGCUCAUGGCAGUGUGCUUUGUAUUGCAGAAAACUGGAAUAACUUGGAUGUUCAUUAAGAGGAGGAUGGAUUAGUAAACUGUGGUACGUCCUUCCAGUGAAAUGGAUUAGAGUGGUGGCAGUGUAUGUGCAGAACUCUGCACAGCAACAGGGAUAAAUUUCAAACAAAGUGUUGAAUGAAAACAAGCAAGUUGCAGAAGGCUCUGUACGAUCCUCUAUCAUUUACAAAAACUUUAAAAAUCUGCAAAGCAAUACUUCAUAUGUUUUAUGAACGUAUACAUAUGUAGCAUAAAUAUGAAAAUAUGUGCAGGAAAGAUUCUCGCCAACUUCAGGGAACAGGGUGAUGACUCCCUCUGGGCAGGAGGGAGGGGAAUGGGCUGAGAAGCUCCUAUUUAUUCAUGAUGUCUUAUUUCAUAAUCCAGAUUGUGGGAACAUGGGAGCUCUAUGUAUUUGUCCCUAUUUUUCAUAUGUUAAAUAUUUUACAUAAAAAAUGACAAAAAGGGAGCUGGACAAUUGCUCCAGGGUCAGUUGUCUCCCAGGUCACUGAUCACAGUUAGAAAAUUCAAUCGGAAAUUUGCCUCCCAGUCAUUGCUCCUAAUUCUGUUCCUUAAGGAUGCCAUGUGAAAACCCAGCUACUGGUGGCAUACAUCCGAAUUGGCUCCUGCCCUCAGCAGGCUAAUUGUGCAGGCUGGCAACGGCAGAGAGGAAGCUGCAUCUCCAGCCACCCCCUCCAUUACCAUCCUCCUCCACCCUGCACCUCCCCUUCCGGCCUUCUGAGCAGAUGGCUGCUCACACAGCAUGUUCUCUUCUGUAGAAAGUCCUUGACAAGCCCAGAGGCAAAGGAGGCUCAAAUCAAAGGAAUCCCACCACAUUUGUCAGUGGAAUUCUCUUUGCUAACCAGGGACUAGGCUCAACAAGGGAUGCUCAGUGGGAAGAACUGAGCUGGAAGUCAGGACAUCUGCUGUUGAUUUGCUGGGUGACUCUGGGUAAGUGACACAACCUCUUUGCCCCUUGGUGUCUCGACAGGUACACUGAGGGAGAUGUGCCAUCUAAGGUGGUGGUUCCAAACCUAGAAGCAUCAGAAUCCACUGGGGAGCUUUUAAAAACGUAGGUGCGAGGGCCCCGUAAUCAGAAUUGCCUGGGGUGGGGCCCAGGAAUUGUAUUUCUUUGAAUCACAGGAUGAUUCCAAGGCACAGCCAAGUUUGGGAAUCAUUAGAGGGUCAUUCCAGGUUGGACAUUCCGGUAUAUGAGAAAACUUGGUCCACACCGCCUUGUUUUCUCUCCCCACCCCCAGUGCUUUCCUGCAUCCUUGUUAAUCAUCACCCUGAAUAGUUAUGCCAAGCAGGGUGCUGGGUGGAAAAGAGGGAGCAGAUGAGCUUCCAGAACACGGCCCCUCCCACUCCCUGGUAACUACAGGGAAGCUGAGAAAGAAGGCGGGACGGGGGCAGGAACGCUACCCAUCCCCAGGUGGGGGAGGGUCUGCCGGUGGGAGACGGCCCAGCCCUUCUGCUGAAUUCCUGCCCUCCGCCCCAGGCCCAGCGCCCCAGCUCCCUGGGGCAGCUCCUCCCUCCCUUCAGCCUCCUCUAGCAAGGGCAGGAGUCACGCAAAUCACUGAAUUUAGAACGUCAAAGACAGACGGAUGUUUUCCCUGAUCGCAGCCAUUCACCGCUGUCUUACCACCUGUACUAUUAUUUAAUUGGCACUUUCUUUUACAUUGACUCACUGUUUUUUUACUUGAAUGCCCCUUCUAAGCAAUAAUAUCUGUGAAAUAACA